rnacentral:rRNA from 1 species
GACGAACGCUGGCGGCGCGCUUAACACAUGCAAGUCGAGCGAUAACCAUGGCUUCGGUCAUGGGGAGAGCGGCGAACGGGUGAGUAACACGUGAGCGAUCUGCCCUCGACACUGGGAUAGCCCGGGGAAACCCGGAUUAAUACCGGAUAGCCUCUCGGGCCUACGGGCCCGUGAGAAAAGAUGGCUUCGGCUUUCGGUUGAGGAGGAGCUUGCGGCGGAUUAGCUUGUUGGUGAGGUAACGGCUCACCAAGGCGACGAUCCGUAGCUGGUCUGAGAGGACGAUCAGCCACACUGGGACUGAGACACGGCCCAGACUCCUACGGGAGGCAGCAGUGGGGAAUCUUGCGCAAUGGGCGAAAGCCUGACGCGGCGACGCCGCGUGAGGGAAGAAGGCCUUCGGGUUGUAAACCUCUUUCAGGAGGGACGAAGCUACUCGGGUUAAUAGCCCAGAGGGUGACGGUACCUCCAGAAGAAGCCCCGGCUAACUACGUGCCAGCCGCCGCAGUAAUAC